rnacentral:rRNA from 1 species
GGAGGAUCCGAGCGUUAUCCGGAUUUAUUGGGUUUAAAGGGAGCGUAGAUGGAUGUUUAAGUCAGUUGUGAAAGUUUGCGGCUCAACCGUAAAAUUGCAGUUGAUACUGGAUAUCUUGAGUGCAGUUGAGGCAGGCGGAAUUCGUGGUGUAGCGGUGAAGUGCUUAGAUAUCACGAAGAACUCCGAUUGCGAAGGCAGCCUGCUAAGCUGCAACUGACAUUGAGGCUCGAAAGUGUGGGUAUCAAACAGGAUUAGAUACCCUGGUAGUCCACACGGUAAACGAUGAAUACUCGCUGUUUGCGAUAUACAGCAAGCGGCCAAGCGAAAGCGUUAAGUAUUCCACCUGGGGAGUACGCCGGCAACGGUGAAACUCAAAGGAAUUGACGGAAGCCG